CAGAUGUUUAGCUGAGACAACAAGACAGACAUUUCUCCUGUUAAUUUUAUUUUCUCUAUCUUGCACACGUGUGGUGAAUAAAUGACACUGUACGAAUAUAUGUUACGAUAUUAUUAAUAUUAUGUCGAGUAUAUAGUACAGUAUGUGUGUGCUAUUGUGAGUACUAACAGAGAGUGCGAGUUUUGACUCUGCCCGCUUUAAAACGAGACCGAAAAAUAUCUCAAGAUAUAUCGCGGAUGAUUAUGAUUAAUACUUUGUUGCGGAGCUUUCUCGGAUAGUUAGCCCGAGAGACAUUUAAUAACUUUGGGUUUUAUUCGGUUCCAAAUAAUAAAAAAAAAAAAUAAUAAAAAAGACAAGGUGGUCGUUACUUCUGUAUACGAUCUUGUAGCUGUAACUUGGAUCAUUGUAAUUAUGGGGGCUAUUAUUAUUGCGAUUAAAGAUAAAAUGGAUCGCUGAGUAAGCUACCGAGAUAUUGAAAACAAAAAUGGCUGUCACGGUCGACGGGAAACUCAACUUUGAAGGUCAACAGAAUUUGUCCAGCCAUUAUAAAAAAUAAAUUACAAUAAUUUUAUUUGUUAUUAUUGUAUUUUUUUAAGGAAUUUUGACCGGCGAGAAGAAACAAGGUCAGCUAGACCUUAUUGGCCCUCGACGGCGCUCCGGCACGCAUGGAAUGCACGGUCGAAAAUAAAAAAACGGAUUUGUAAAUGAAAAAAAGAAAGGAAGAUGCGAAACCACUGAAUAUUUCAGCUACUUCCUCGUUCUCGGCCAAGUUUAUUCUUUCGAAAAUUCAUAGUAGUUACCUUACUCAAUAAUUUUGUCAUUUUUAGUCUUUGUUUAUUAGAGAA